AUCUCUCAUUUUCUCUCUAUCUCUCUCACACACACACAUAGAGAUCUUCACGUUCACACUCACACUCACACACAAACAAAGAGCUCCGCCUGCACCGACGAGAAGAGACCAGCCCAACGUCGACAAGGCCGAACCCAACUUAGCUUGUCAACUUCUCAUACCCAUCGACCCAAAUAAUGUCUUACACAAUUCAAAGCAUUUUUUCAUUCAGCAAUUAUUGAGAAACAACACACUUUUAACUUGCUGUACCAAACCAACUCUAAGACUGUGAGGAAGAGAAAGACAUUCAAAAUGGCAGCUUCGGUUGUUGGAAGAUCCACACUAGUGCAUGCAUUUUGCAGAGCAUAAACGAAUCCUUCUUCGGCAACAAGGAGAUUCUCAUUGCCCCCGCGUAGGUCCAAUUUUGUGCCUCAUCGGUCUCCGACUUCCUCUCCUCCUUUAAGGUUGCUUUGAAGAGAAUUGAGUUCUCUUCAGCCUAUCCACUCUGCAAUUUCUUUGGCUUGCCUUGUCUCCAAGCACCCCAGUGAAGCCAGCACCUCCACCGAAGGAUGUUCCUCUGGUCCAACAAUCUCUAGGUCUCCAAAAAUCAACAGUCACAUUCCAUCAACCAAGCAGCUUAUAAGUUUUAUUUUGGUGUUCAAGGACUUUUUCGUGUACAAAGAACUACAUUUGAACAACCUUAUUUUUUUCCAAGUGUUGAAGGAUAUUUUUAAACGCUUUUGAACUUUGAUUAUGGUAUUAGUUUAAUUUGAGCGGUUGUUUUAUUCAAAUGACCACAUCUUUUUUUGUUAA